GCCUGGACCUUACUGUGACAUAGCUGUGCCUCUGCUGCUAUAAUUUUGGGGCACUUUUGUAUGUAUUUCAGUGUGUGGAACGGUGUUUUAUGUGCAUGUACGUUGCUCACAGUAAUUCAGUUCCAUUGCAUAGGCAUUUUUGCAUAACGUAUUCAGGUAAUCUGUAUGCUGAGUAAAUAUAUUAACAAUUUUCAUCAUUGACAUAAUCUCCUUGCAACCUAAUUGAUUUCAAAAGCGUUGCAAAACCAAGUUCUUGUUCAUUUUUUUAAUCACUUAAACUAUGCAGACUUUGCUUAGACUUUAAAAGAUUAUUAAUGAGUUUUGUGAUAAUUUGCAUGAUCAUUGAAAGGUGUCUCAGUUCUGUAUUGACAUUAUGUUACAGUGAUCUUCCAGUGGAAUAUGUAAAGUUAAUUUAAUGCUUGUCAGGGUUUCUGGUAGGCAUAGAGAUUUCAGUAGCUAGAAGUGCCGAGCUGAUUGGAGUGGUAUCUUGUACCCAUUGAUGCAGUUUGCUUCCUUGGAUCCCAGUUCUUUAAGAACAAGAAACAAGGUGACCUCAUUUAACGUAAGAAUGUAUGUGUCACUGUAUUUCUCUGAAAGCUCUACAAACUUUCAGAGUGUGUUUGUUAUCUUAAUUCCAGCUGUCAGCUGACUUGUUUUUUACAGUGUCUGCUUUCCUUUGUGGGUACAUGUAGCCUUAGUAUGCUCUUCUGUAUUGAGAGUGCAGUAAAGAUUUUAGGAUAUGGUUGGUUGGAGUCCAUUUUACCAUGUCAGAUUAGGAUAGAGCUGUUCUGUAAUAACCAGGUGUAGGAGCAUGCUGGAAGUGCUUGUCCUUUGAACCAGUGGUCCCUGAUAACUAACACCUGCUAACUAGGGAGUGCUUAAUUGGGCACUGUAACACACUUGUUAAUGGUGCCAGCUUGCACUCUUUUCUUCCUGUGUACUGAGCAGAAAGUGACCAUCAUCUCUCAGACCUUUUAUGUAUUUUUUUAGGAAACUUUGUACUGCUUGCUGAAGAAGGCAUCGAGGUAUAGGAUAACGUGGUUGAAGUGAUUGUGAUUCAGUGCAUUACACUGCAGCUUUUCAACAGUGUAUUUGUACAGUUGCAAUUAUUUAGGCCAGGAUAAAUCUGCCAGUCAAGAAAGUACUUUCAACUGCUAUUCUGGUAUCUGUAGACCAUAAUUUUAACAUCAACAACCCUGCUGCCUCAUGGGGAAAAACAAACCACAGGCUGUUCACACUGCUGCAGAAGAGAAAGCAAUAUUCACCCAAAUGUGAGAUACGUAUCAAAGCUUUUCUAAUUAUUGUGGACAGCUAAACCACAAUGUGAAGAUUUUAUCCUGCGAACAUUUGGCCUCUCAUGUUUUGAGCCCUCCCUUGUGUAAAGCAUUGUACAGAGCUGGCAGUUCCACGGGGUCUGAACUUGAUCUUAAUGAGUGAAGAAGCAGUAACACUCAAACUGAAGGGCUCAUAUCAGUCAGGACUGCGAAAUAUACAGAUGCCCUUUUUCAAGAGCACAAUAGUAAAACUGUUUUUUCUUCUAUCAAGAACAAAGAUAAAAGCUUGCUGUAGUUUCUUUUUAAUACAAUGUUAUCAAUACCUGAAGUUAUCUGUUUUGCUGUGUGGGCUAUUUAGCAGGUGGUUUAUUGUGAUAUAGACCUCUGUAAAGAUAUUUUUGACAUGUUUGUGAACUAUACAGGAGACUGUGUGACAUAUCACUUAUCUGUUAUACCUCUGUUAUUGCACAGGAGAAAUACCUUGCUGCUUAAGGUGUAAGAAAAGUUCUUAAAGAUCAAGAGAGGUCUUUUUCUUGAGUAGACCAGUGUAUGUUUGUGUUCUGGGGGAUAUAGAAUAAAGACACUGUGUAUGAGGGAA